CAAUAGCGUAUAUUAAAGUUGUUGCAGUUAAAAAGCUCGUAGUUGGAUUUCUGGUGGGAGCACGGGUCGGCCUUCACGGGUUGUACUGUUGUUGCGUCCUGCCGUUUCGGAGGGAAUGGUCAUGUUAUUAGGUUAGCGUGAUCGGAAACUCUGUCGUUUACUGUGAAAAAUUAGAGUGUUCAAAGCAGGCCUUCGCUGUGAAUACAUUAGCAUGGAAUAAUAAGAUAUGACUUUGGUCUAUUUUGUUGGUUUGCACUCCAAAGUAAUGAUUAAUAGGGAUAGUUGGGGGUAUUCGUAUUCAAGUGUCAGAGGUGAAAUUCUUGGAUUUCUGGAAGACGAACUACUGCGAAAGCAUUUACCAAGGAUGUUUUCAUUAAUCAAGAACGAAAGUUAGGGGAUCGAAGAUGAUCAGAUACCGU
rnacentral:rRNA from 1 species